GACGAACGCUGGCGGCGUGCUUAACACAUGCAAGUCGAGCGAUGAAGUUCCUUCGGGAAUGGAUUAGCGGCGGACGGGUGAGUAACACGUGGGUAACCUGCCUCAUAGAGGGGAAUAGCCUUUCGAAAGGAAGAUUGAUACCGCAUAAGAUUGUAGUAUCGCAUGAUACAGCAAUUAAAGGAGUAAUCCGCUAUGCGAUGGAGCCGCGUCGCAUUAGCUAGUUGGUGAGGUAACGGCUCACCAAGGCGACGAUGCGUAGCCGACCUGAGAGGGUGAUCCGCCACAUUGGGACUGGGACACGUCCCAGACUCCUACGGGAGGCAGCAGUGGGGAAUAUUGCACAAUGGGGGAAACCCGGAUGCAGCAACGCCGCGUGAGUGAUGGCGGUCUUCGGAUUGUAAAACUCUGUCUUCAGGGACGAUAAUGACGGUACCUGAGGAGGAAGCCACGGCUAACUACGUGCCAGCCGCCGCCGUAACAC
rnacentral:rRNA from 1 species